UACGGAGGAUCCGAGCGUUAUCCGGAUUUAUUGGGUUUAAAGGGUGCGCAGGCGGGAGAUUAAGUCGGCGGUGAAAUUUUGCAGCUCAACUGUAAAAGUGCCUUCGAAACUGGUUUCCUUGAGUGUAGAUGAAGUAGGCGGAAUUUGUGGUGUAGCGGUGAAAUGCAUAGAUAUCACGAGGAACUCCGAUUGCGCAGGCAGCUUACUAAACUACUACUGACGCUCAGGCACGAGGGCGUGGGGAUCAAACAGGAUUAGAACCCUGGUAGU
rnacentral:rRNA from 1 species